GUCUAUAGCCAUGCCACCCUGAACGAGCCUGAUUUUGGAAGCUAAGCAGGGUCGGGCUUGGUUAGUACUUGGAUGGGAGACCACCUAGGAAGACCAUGUGCUAGAGGCA
rnacentral:rRNA from 1 species